GCCAUGAGUCACUCUUAGAGAACAUUAGGAGAGUGUCUGAUCUUGGAAGCUAAGCAGGGUUGGGCCUGGUUAGUACUUGGAUGGGAGACCACCUAGGAAGACCAGAUGCUGUAGGCG
rnacentral:rRNA from 1 species